rnacentral:rRNA from 1 species
AACGUAGGUGGCGAGCGUUAUCCGGAUUUACUGGGCGUAAAGCGCUUGUAGGUGGUUUUGUAAGUUGGGCGUGAAAUCCCCGGGCUCAACCUGGGAACUGCAUUUGGGACUGCAAGGCUAGAGUACGGCAGAGGGGGUAGAAUUCCUGGUGUAGCAGUGAAAUGCGUAGAUAUCAGGAGGAAUACCGAUGGCGAAGGCAGCCCCUGGGUCGAUACUGACGCUCAUGCACGAAGCGUGGGAGCAACAGG